AACCCUAAUGCCACUCCCACAGGAAGUAUUCUCGCACGGGCUGGAGCGAUCGCCCAUGGCAGAGGUAGAUUUCUCCUCCUGUUUGCUUCCCGCCGCUCCGGAGCUGGAUCUUUCUCCACGGAUCGAAGGCGCUCGAUGAUCAGCGGGAAAAUGUCGGUGUGGCUGCUCUCCCCGAUCCAUAGAUCCGAAUGGCCAUAGCUCGUCAUCACGAAGCGAGCGUGAUCGAAGGAUUGGUUUGCCUCCGGAGAUGUAAGUCGUGGGAAGCGCGAGCCUCUCCGGUUUUGUCAUGUAUCAGAGGAAGUGCCAUUUUCACCAAUGCCGCUGGAACCAGGCUGAAAAACAUUGACGAGUUUGUGCAGACCAGUGAAGCAACACGAGAGACAGCUUACCUGCUGGAAUGUCAAACUUCGCAAUGUCAUCAAGAUCAAACUUUUCUUGGCCGGGAAGCGUUCGGACCAUAUCUUGUGGCUCGGUAGGGAGGCAGAAGCUUUCAGUGGAGUAGCCAUUCAAAAGCAGCACCAGUCCUUUCUUCUGGUCCAUGGAAAGUGGCCAUUGUUUACAGGUUGAUCAAUUUGCCGGGGACGUCCAGAAAAGUAUGUUUGCAGCAGACUCGAUAGCAACUGCUUAAGAAACGAAAAUUUCCCUGGUCCUUUCAAGCUUAUCAACGACCUCAGAAGAUUGAAGACACUGACGUGCAAAGUUCCCUGGAGUACUGAAGGGUUGGCACUCUCCUUGCCUGAAAGAUCGACGAGCUGUGCGUUAAGUGUGGUCGAUUCCUUAUAGAUCCAGAGACCGCAGAGGAAGGGCCUCAUCUCUUUUUUUGCCAUCAACAAGAACCUGCCAGUCUGCUCGUCACUUUCUGGAUUUCUAGGACUUCACUUACCGGCGGCCUGAAGACGUGGAUAGAAGCAGAUGGUAACGCAUAAACUGAGUGAAGGGAGACUUCUCGCUCAGCGAACACAGGUUGACGUAUCCGUCCAAGACAUGCAAGGGGUCCUUUUCUAGCAACGGGAUGAGCAGCUUUCCUCCUACUUGGCCAUGGAGAAUGGUUGUGCAGUUCGUCGUUUUCGAAACUAUAUGCAUUGUUAGCUUCAACGUGCAAGUGGCUCGUCCUGGACAGGAUGUUCCAAGGAACUCAAGCUUUGCCUUCGCGAGAAGAGGUGGAGCGUAAACCUGUCCACUCGGACUCGUGACCCCGGAAGUGAUGCUCGUCGAAACAUUGCAGCCUCCUAGGAGAUGCACCGAGUUGCUCCGGAAGCGAGAAGAGCAAGUCACUGGAUGCCUGGUACGUGAUUUUUCCAGAUUUCUCGUUCAAGGUAACGUGUCCAUCCCCGGAGUCAUAGCUUAUCAAAUUAAGUUGAAGUUCCUGAAUGUUCUGUCUAGUUAUCCACUGCAUGAACUGGUCCCAAAGAGCAUGAAUGAUUCCCCAGCUGACUGGCCACCUGUUUAUGAGGAUUCCUUUCAAGAUUACGUAGGAACUUGCUUUCGGGAUUGCUGAAGCCUAUGGUCGUAGAAGUUAGAGCUUUGAUGCAUUGCGAAAUGUUACCUGAAUGGUGAAGCCGAGAGAGGAGGUGUGCGAGCUGGAAAUAGAUGGGCCUGGUCUUAGUGGGAGCGGCGUGCUUGGAAACUUUUCCUUUCCUAGUCCGCGUACUUGAGUUUGUGCAGAGGCUUCUGUUACGAAUGCAAUGUUGUUUCCAUUGCAA